CACUGUUUCACAUCCAAUAUUGAAAACCUUUCACUUCGAUUCCGUACACAUCCACCUCUGUUUCUCAAAUUUCGUUGUCAACAGCGGGCUCCCUUCAGUCUCAUACACUGCAUGUCUCUGUAUCUUUCUAUUUCUGUAUAUAUUUCUAUAAAAAUCAACAUCUCCUUUUCUGUUUCAAAAUUGAAAUCGAAACCCAUCUUUUGAUAUAUGUAAAACCCAUCAAAACCAUCUUCUUAAUCACUGUUUCCCUCAUUUUAUGGCGGGAACCUCAGUACUGGAAGGAACCAUUUCUAAUCUUUGUGAUUCUGUAAUUUUUUGAAUCUGGGUUUUGUGUCUGUAAAUAUAAUUAUACGGAAUCUUUUGUUUCCUUGAUGGCGAACCCGUCUGGUACGCAUCAUCAAGAUGCCAAUCAUGCAUCCUCUUCUUUCGGUGGAGCAAAUCCCACUAACGGACAUGGGAAUUCAGGUCCUGAGAGUUCUGUUACAGCUUUGAAACAUAACCCUGGUAUCUCCACAGAUUGGAGCCUGGAAGAGCAAGCAAUUCUGGAGGAUGGUUUAGCUAAAUAUGCAGCAGAAUCAAGCAUAAUACGUUAUGCGAAAAUAGCUUUGCAGCUGCAAAAUAAGACAGUACGAGAUGUUGCAUUGCGCUGCAGAUGGAUGACUAAAAAAGAAAAUAGCAAGAGAAGGAAGGAAGAUAAUUUAGCAAGGAAGAAUAAAGAUAAAAAGGAAAGAGUUGCUGAUCCUUCAAUGAAGGCAUCUCACUUCAUGGGCAGGCCUAACUUUCCUCCAUAUGCAACUCCAAUGCUUCCAGUGGAUUAUGAUGAUGGCAUUUCAUACGAAGGUGAAGUUCUGUGCUCCUGCAACGGAAGCUUUUUGUUCUUGAUAUUAUUUGCAAAAUUGACUAAAGAUUUGGAUUUUUCAUUCAUUAAAAUAUGAUUGUUUAAAACUAAGUUUAACAUGCUCUCAAAGGUAGUUAAAAAGAAAAAAGUUUUUAAUAGUUUAAUUCUACUGCUGUGCUGGAUGAAUUAUCAAACGCUAUCAAAGUCUUAUUGUAAUCAAUGGUGUCCGAAGUUGUUAUGAUAUUUUUAUUAUUAGAUUUUCUUUUGAUUUCUUAUUGAUACUUUUAAACUAAUAACUCAACAUUGUGAAUGUAAUAAUUGGGUGAUUGGAAGAAUUUGAUGCAUAAUUAUGAUAUAAAUUCAUGUGGGGCAUUGGUAAUGUAGAUUUUGCUUACCUUUCCCUGUAUUUCUAGGUAAGUGCUCAUGUGCAGCUACUUGUAUUUCUUGAAUCAUUUGUGCCUUAGGCUAUAUAUAUGUAAUUUCCAUUUUAUGAAUGUUUCUGGCUAGUCUACCAUAGCAUACAUGGGAAUUACCAAUAUUUGAUUUCUUGAGUAAGAUGUGAACUUUUGCUCUUAGGAAGUUUUUAAUUCCCCUCUUUUUUCAAUGAAACCAAGGCAUCACUUAACCUCAAUUCAAAAACAGUUAUGGCUUGCUAUGUGGGCCACUUCAAUAAUUUAUUCUUUGCUUAGUGCCAAAUGUUCAUUUCUGAUAACUGAUAUAAUGUUAGUGCUGUAUAAAACAUGUAUUGCAUUUACUGACUAUGGCAUUUUGUUAUUCUAGUGGCAUUAAUGAUGAACCCCUUUUUAUCUUAAGCAGAUACAAAUGGAAAAGUAUAUUCAAGUAGAGGAAGAUUUCAACGUACAACUUUUCUGGAUUCAUAUUAUAAAGACACUGGAGAGUUUUUCUGGAUUAAUUGUGUUAAGUUAGAAAAACCUUCCAUACGGAGAUGUGUUGAGUUCUACCCAUCUCUAAGCGUACUAAUUUAAGUGAUUGUGGUCCAUAAAGACCUUAGGAGUUGGGAUAUGUUUGAAUUGAUGAAUGGAACUUGAGUUUAAUUGCGUUACUGAUAGGAGAUCUCAAGUACUCAAAUCCUUAUUUGCUGUUCUGUUAAAUGGUCUAUAAUGAAAACACCAUUGAUUUCUUGUAAAAGAUAACUAGGCUACUUUAUGCUUGCGUUUAUGCAGGUAUUCAUCUCUUGUGUUGGGAUAAAUUAAUUGGAGUUUACCAUUUUCUUCAUGUCACCUAAAAACAGUUCGUGUCAGUGUCUGUUUUGAGAUUCUAAAUGAGUUGAUGAAGGGAGAUAAUUCACCCUCAAGUGCUUGCGUCAUUGUCACGUAACUUGAGUUAUAUUUGUGAUGAUUUAACGGAUGAAUGUCAUGUCAUUAAUGAGGCUUGAGAUAAGGAGGAAGAAUUUUGUGAUGGGUAAUUGUGGAAGUUCAUAAUAUGAAAAACACCUUUUCAUGGCUAGUUUUUGGAGUGAGGUCAGAAAUUUGUGGGAUAUAUGUCAGUUUAUGGUAAGAUUAGGUCUGACCAGAUUCCCAAAUUAGGAUUCUCGCAUUGGGCAUUGCUUAUGUUUUUUGCAUAGAAGUUUAUAUCAUUUCUAGCCCUUGAAACCUUAAUUUUUUGUCCCCUUUUCCCUCUCUAGUUCUAUAGAUCUCAUAAUAUCUUCUAUGAUAUUGCUAUUUUCCCGGUUUAUUGAUAAGCUGCAGCAUGCUGCUUGCAGCCCUUAGUGGUGUUACAGAGGAGCUUCUUGAGCAAAACACAAAGGCCUUAAAUCAAAUAUCUGCUAAUCUUUCUACCAUGCAGCUACAGGAGAACGUCAGUCUGCUCUGCCAAACUCGUGACAACAUUCUCAAGAUUAUGAAUGAGUAUGUUGCAACUUGUGACUUUGAUUACUUACCAAGUAACUUUAUGAGUGCUUAAGGCAAUUUAUUUCCUUGCUCCGUUCUCUGCCUGUGUUUAUACAUGUCAAUGAAUUGCUGUACUUGUGUGCCUUUAUUUGCCUGUUCAUAUCUGUUUGACUUGUAUGUGAUUGAUCACUUUCGAUUUUAUACUUUGUUUAGACUUGUAAAUGAUCAACAUUGAUAUAAAUUCUUUUACAUGGUGAAUAACCCAAGCUUACUCUUAGUAAAAGAGUUUCUGCUCAAGAGGUGAUUACAGAUUCGCGAUUAACGUCUGUGGAUUCUGGUUAUAUACAUAUCUUUUUGAACUUUAAUGAAUAUAUGCUGUGCCAAUUAUUGGUAAUGUUCAGUGAAUGAGCUUCUUCUCAAUAUAGAACCUGCAUGGCUUCCCAAACAUUCAAAUUUACACCAAUGAAUUAUGGACACAUUAUUUGGACAGUAGAAAAAGCAUGUAAAUUUCAAGUUGUGUCCGAAGGCCUGCAAUUCUCCAGCUAAACAGGAAAAAUAGAAAAAUGAAGGCGAAAGAAGGCCUGUGAGCUGACUGAGUUGCUGUCAAGCUAAUCCAAUUUCUUUGCUUCAUUACAGUGCUUGUCCUGGGGGCAGUGGAGCAAACAGACACUCUAAAUGAGAAUCUGUUCCAAUCAGCCAAAACCCACAUCUUUGCUUGUCCUCUAUUUUGCUAAUUUCUAGGCAUUCAACUUUGAGAAUUAAGACUUGGCUUCUUCCCAAAUAGAACUACUCAUCUGUUUCAUUUUUAUUUGCAGGUUGAAUGACGUGCCUAAUUUAAUGAAGCAGAUGCCACCACUUCCAGUCAAGUUGAACGAAGAGCUGGCUAACACCAUCCUGCCCCGUCGUGUGAAUCUUCCGUGAAAUGAUCAUGACCCUUGAUCAAUGACUAUCCUUCUCAAUCAGAUCAUCCUACCUCAACUAAUCUAAUCUGUAGACAAUGGGAAUAACCACCAGCCAAUUGAGCUUUGAUUUUGCAUUGGAGAUGGAGCGUAGUUCAUCAUGCUGUAAAUAGUAGUGGUUUUUGUUUUUGCUGCCUUCAUUAUAGUUUACUUAGAAGAAAUGGUUCGUGGCAUAGAAAGUGAUUUGGUUUCUACGUAGAAAUCAGGGAAUGAGGAAUGGUAAAUGCUUUUUGCUUUUAUUUGCCGAUUAUUACAACAAUAUCAUUUGUUUAAUUUUAAUAAUUUUAAAGGUGAGUUUUAUAUUUAUUUCAUAAUCAAAAUUGAGUUUGGAGGUGCU
rnacentral:misc_RNA from 1 species